GACGAACGCUGGCGGCGUGCUUAACACAUGCAAGUCGAACGGGCUCUGUCUGGCUGUGUGCUGGGUGGGGUUAGUGGCGAACGGGUGAGUAAUACGUGAGUAACCUGCCCUCUUCUUUGGGAUAAGCCUUGGAAACGGGGUCUAAUACUGGAUAUUCCUGUCUGGUCGCAUGGCUGGGUGGGGAAAGUUUUUUUCGGUGGGGGAUGGGCUCGCGGCCUAUCAGCUUGUUGGUGGGGUGAUGGCCUACCAAGGCGUCGACGGGUAGCCGGCCUGAGAGGGUGGCCGGGCACACUGGGACUGAGAUACGGCCCAGACUCCUACGGGAGGCAGCAGUGGGGGAUAUUGCACAAUGGGCGCAAGCCUGAUGCAGCGACGCCGCGUGGGGGAUGACGGCUUUCGGGUUGUAAACCUCUUUCGUCGGGGGACAAGGCUCUGCUUGGUGGUGGGGUUGAGGGUACCCGGUGAAGAAGCGCCGGCUAACUACGUG
rnacentral:rRNA from 1 species